UACGGAGGGUGCAAGCGUUAUCCGGAAUCAUUGGGGUUAAAGGGUCCGCAGGCGGAUUUAUAAGUCAGUGGUGAAAGCCCGUCGCUCAACGACGGAACUGCCAUUGAUACUGUAAGUCUUGAAUUCGAUCGAAGUGGGCGGAAUAUGACAUGUAGCGGUGAAAUGCUUAGAUAUGUCAUAGAACACCGAUAGCGAAGGCAGCUCACUAGGUCUGGAUUGACGCUCAGGGACGAAAGCGUGGGGAGCAAACAGG
rnacentral:rRNA from 1 species